rnacentral:tRNA from 1 species
AGGCGGAUAGCUCAGCUGGGAGAGCGCCACGCUUACACCGUGGAUGUCGCAGGUUCAAGUCCUGUUCCGCCUACCA